rfam:Arenibacter sp. C-21 DNA, contig: C21_contig0026.
AUUAAUAACCAAGGGUCGGGCACCCUACAAAUUAAU